CUUGAAAUAAAGUGACCUCUUUUUAAUAGAAAACAUUAGGUAAAAGCGUAUUUUUUAACCACUUCUUCUUCCUUUCAUUUCAUCCACUGACAAACAAACAGUACUUUUGUUAGACAAUUGCUCGAUUUUUUGUUUCUUUUAUUCAAUCUUAUAAGUCGUGAUUAUGAAUUUCAUGGGCAUGAGGUAUUACUUCUCUCUCCCAUUCAUUGGUUUGAUUCUGGUGGCGCUAUUCGACUACUCCUACGGACAAGGCGUCGCCCCUACGCCUGCAGCAAUUGCUCCUGCUCCUACCAACGAUGGCACAACAAUUGAUCAAGGGAUUGCAUACGUUCUUCUCCUCGUUGCGCUGGCGAUUACGUAUUUAGUCCACUGAUUUUUUGUGCUGAUACUUUUUGAGAUAUAAAUGUUUACCACAUAGUAAUUACAUUUAUUCAAUUCUUAGGUAAUUUCUGUCCAGUUAUUACAGUGAAAAUCGUGUAGCAUGGCUGUAGCUUCCUUGUAGAGAAAGUUGAUUUUUUUUUUUUU